UACAGAGAGUGCAAACGUUGUUCGGAUUCACUGGGCGUAAAGGGCACGUAGGCGGCUCGGCAAAUCGGUCGUGGAAUCCAGACGCUUACCGUCUGAACGGCGGCCGAAAAUACCGGGCUCGAGGGCGUGAGGGGUCACUGGAACUCCUGGUGAAGCGGUGAAAUGCGUAGAUAUCAGGAGGAACGCCGGAGGCGAAAGCGAGUGACUGGCGCGUUCCUGACGCUGAGGUGCGAAAGCUAGGGGAGCAAACAGG
rnacentral:rRNA from 1 species